rnacentral:rRNA from 1 species
GACGAACGCUGGCGGCGUGCUUAACACAUGCAAGUCGAGCGGUAAGGCCCUUUCGGGGGUACGACGAGCGGCGAACGGGUGAGUAACACGUGGGUGACCUGCCUUUAGCUCUGGGAUAAGCCGGGGAAACCGGGUCUAAUACCGGAUAUGACUCCGCGGCGCAUGUUGUGGGGUGGAAAGCCUUGUGCGGCUGGAGAUGGGCCCGCGGCCUAUCAGCUUGUUGGUGGGGUGAUGGCCUACCAAGGCGACGACGGGUAGCCGGCCUGAGAGGCGACCGGCCACACUGGGACUGAGACACGGCCCAGACUCCUACGGGAGGGCAGCAGUGGGGAAUCUUGCGCAAUGGGCGAAAGCCUGACGCAGCGACGCCGCGUGA